rnacentral:miRNA from 1 species
UAUAUUAUACGUGCGGAAAUUGUUACCAUUUUUGUGCCGAAAAUGGUAACAAUUUCCGCACGUAAUACAAA